AUGGAAAUCACUUUAAGAGAAGCUACUAAACUCCUAGAUAAUAUUAUGGUUAAUUAUUCUCAAUGGCAUACUGAAAGAUCUACUAAUAAAAAGGUGCGUGCGAUAGAAGAAAUUAAUGUUUUGAGUGGAAAGAUGGAUGAACUUAUGAAAUUAUUUGCUAAUAAGAGUGUUUCUUAUUAUCCUAAUGAUAUGCCCUUGUCUACUUUGAUUGAGAAUAAUAAUGAAUCUAUGGAUGUGAAUUUUGUUGGUAGGAACAAUUUUGGUAACAACGCGUAUAGAGGAAAUUUUAAUCCUAGGCCUUAUCCUAGUAAUCCCUCUAAUAAUUAUGGUAAUCCCAACUACAAUUCUUAUGGAAAUUAUAAUAAGAUGCCCUUUGAUUUUGAAUCUAAUAUUAAAGAAUUUAUUACUUCGCAAAAGAAUUUUAAUGCUAUGAUUGAAGAAAAAUUGGUUAAGAUUGAUGAUUUGGCUAGGAACGUUGAUAGAAUUGCUCUCGAUGUUGAUUCUUUGAAACUUAGAUCUAUUCCACCUAAGCAUGAUAUCAAUGAGUCUCUCAAAGCCAUGAGAAUUUCCAUUGAUGAGUGA
rnacentral:rRNA from 1 species